rnacentral:rRNA from 1 species
UCGAGAAUUUUUGACAAUGGGGGAAACCCUGAUCGAGCGACGCCGCGUGGAGGAUGAAGGUCUUCGGGUUGUAAACUCCUGUCAUUUGGGAACAAGUCGUAUUUAUUAACUGUAAGUACGUUGAUAGUACCAGAAGAGGAAGGGACGGCUAACUCUGUGCCAGCAGCCGCGGUAAUACAGAGGUCUCAAGCGUUGUUCGGAUUCAUUGGGCGUAAAGGGUGUGUAGGUGGCGCGCUAAGUCGGGUGUGAAAUUUCGGAGCUUAACUCCGAAACUGCAUUCGAUACUGGCGUGCUUGAGGACUGGAGAGGAGACUGGAAUUUACGGUGUAGCAGUGAAAUGCGUAGAUAUCGUAAGGAAGACCAGUGGCGAAGGCGGGUCUCUGGACAGUUCCUGACACUGAGACACGAAGGCCAGGGGAGCAAACGGGAUUAGAUACCCCCGUAGUCC